AAAGAUGGAGUUAGGAAUAUAAUAUUUUAUUUACAAUAAAAAUGGUAUCUGUGGAACUCAGGUCAUCUUUA
rnacentral:tRNA from 1 species